UACAGAGGUCCCAAGCGUUGUUCGGAUUCACUGGGCGUAAAGGGUGCGUAGGCGGUCGGGUAAGUCUGAUGUGAAAUCUCACAGCUUAACUGUGAAACUGCAUUGGAUACUAUUCGGCUUGAGAGUUGGAGGGGGGACUGGAAUUCUUGGUGUAGCAGUGAAAUGCGUAGAUAUCAAGAGGAACACCAGUGGCGAAGGCGAGUCCCUGGACAACUUCUGACGCUGAGGCACGAAAGCGUAGGGGAGCAAACAGG
rnacentral:rRNA from 1 species